UACGUAGGGUGCGAGCGUUGCCCGGAUUUAUUGGGCGUAAAGGGCGCGUAGGCGGCCCGCUAAGUCGAACGUGAAAUCCCCGGGCUCAACCCGGGAACUGCGUCCGAUACUGGCAGGCUUGAAUUCGGGAGAGGGAUGUGGAAUUCCAGGUGUAGCGGUGAAAUGCGUAGAUAUCUGGAGGAACACCGGUGGCGAAGGCGGCAUCCUGGACCGAUAUUGACGCUGAUGCGCGAAAGCCAGGGGAGCAAACGGG
rnacentral:rRNA from 1 species